rnacentral:rRNA from 1 species
CUUUCUCCGCCGGCGACCGGCGCACGGGUGAGUAACACGUAUGCAACCUGCCCCUGUCAGGGGGACAACCGCCGAAAGGCGGGCUAAACCCGCGUACAUGCACCGGGGCAUCCCGGAGGCAGGAAAGGCUUCGGCCGGACAGGGAUGGGCAUGCGGCGCAUUAGGCAGUAGGCGGGGUAACGGCCCACCUAACCGACGAUGCGUAGGGGUUCUGAGAGGAAGGUCCCCCACACUGGUACUGAGACACGGACCAGACUCCUACGGGAGGCAGCAG